rnacentral:piRNA from 1 species
UAUGAUGUUCCAAACCUGGAAUCUGGAGC